rnacentral:rRNA from 1 species
UACAGGGGGGGCAAGCGUUGUUCGGAAUUACUGGGCGUAAAGGGCUCGUAGGCGGCCAACUAAGUCACACGUGAAAUCCCCAGGCUUAACCUGGGAACUGCGUGUGAUACUGGAUGGCUUGAAUCCGGGAGAGGGAUGCAGAAUUCCAGGUGUAGCGGUGAAAUGCGUAGAUAUCUGGGGGAAUACCGGUGGCGAAGGCGGCAUCCUGGACCGGCAUUGACGCUGAUGAGCGAAAGCUAGGGGAGCAAACGGG